CACCAGAUAUUUUUACAAAUUUUUUGUGGCCCGCUGCAAAAGUUCUAGUGAAGUACAAGAAAUUAAACAGUCUGGAUUAUACAAGAAUGUCUAGACUAUUUUAAAAAGUAACCAUUUGACACAUUUAAAAAAUAGUCAUCAAUGCAUGAAUUUCAAAAAUUAUAAGCGUUUUUAAUAACAAAAUGAUAUUUUGUCCCAAGGUAUGUAAUAUUAAAGAAAUGUACCCUUUUAUCUUUACUUAAAGACAGCACGUAUCAUGUAAUGGAAAUUUUACAUAGUUUUUUUUUUUAAAGCUGUCUUUACAUGUUAACUCAAUGUUUUUGAAGUUGAACUGGAUGUUAUUUUAAGCCUUAAAAAUAAAAUAUGCUUAGACCUUUUAGGAUGUUGUAUUGAACUUAGUUACCACAGUGAACUUUAAGGUCUAUUCACUUCCCGGUUUGCUCAUGGCUGACUUCAGUCCGGUUAGACUGUAUCCGGGUGCAAGGUAGUCAGACUGCACCUGGGUGAAAGGUCAUUCUAAUUGGUUGCGGGUCCCCUAGCGACCACAGUUCUUUUUAACAUGGCCUCUGUCUGAAUUCUCCGCAGUCCGUGGCACUUCAGGACCCCAAGAGAAAUGCCAGAUGAUAGAGAAAACACCUAUUGAAACUGGAGCUGCAGCAGAAAGCUGGUAGAUAAUGCAACGAUGGACUGGGAACUCAUCUCGUCUUGGAAGUGGAAGUGGUGAUAUGGAGGCAUUCCAACUGACUCUGGGGUUUGAAAAACAGAAACAUGGCUGAGCAAAGCCACCAAUUAAAACAAACCCUUGUGAGCACUGUGGAAGAUGGUCAUUUUCAACACAUGGUGCUUGUCAUGGAUCCAGGGAGCAGAAUUUACUCUUCUCUGUUAAGAAGCAGCUCUGGUGUCCUGACCAAAUGUCAGAAGAUGGGACUUUGCUCAGACCAAGCUACCAAAGACCACUGCCCUUCAUUUCAUGAGCUCAGCCCUGUCUACCCAGACGAGCAACUGAGGAGCCUGAUCCAGGAGCCAACAGAUCAUGAUUCUUGGCUAUGCAAACCUGAGACUGACUCAUCCUCCAGCAGCCGACCGUGGACAUGUGCAGCAGUCACAGAGACAGAUGGCAUUUCAAUCACUUGGCCUACAUCUUCCUCCACUGUCACCACUGUGACAGAAAUGAGUUCCGUUUGCUCCAUUUUACAUGAGGGCAAAAGGCAGCAUUGACUCACGAAGUUUACACAGUCAGUGAGAAGAGCAACCAAGUCAGGAUCAGAUACAAAGAUGUUAUUGCAGAUGUUAAUUGGAACAUAGUUUUAGUCAUUUGAUAAAUAUUCAGUAAUUUAUUGUUUGUUAAGAAAAAUUAUCCAAAAUUCACAAAUAUAGAGGAAACAAAAUUUUACCUGUACCCUCUUUUCUUUUCUUUCUUUUUUUCCCCCUAGGACUGAUAAUUAAAUGACAAGAGACAGAUAAGACAGAUCAACAGGAGAAAAACAAAUUUACUUAGUACAAAACUUACAUGGCAGGGGAGACUACAUAAGGAAAUGCAGUUGUGAAAAUGUCACAAGGACAAGAAGCUUGGGCUCAGUAAGUAGUUAAUUGGGUGAAAAAGUGGAUAGGAAGGUAAGUUUAGUCUAGCAAGGCUUGUUUGUACAAAUUUCCCUUGGCCUCAACUUCCUAUCCUUGACGAUAAGAAAGAUGCUUUCCUUCUGAUAUAGGGAAGGCAUCUUUCACAUGUGAAUUUCGUCUCCACUUGUAAGAAAAAGGUCAGAGUGAUCAUCUCACACCUGUUGUUUUUCAGGUGCCCUAAACUCAAAAUAGUCAAUAUGCCAGAGUGGCCUGUUUUGGAGUGUUGUGCUAACUCUGCUAAGGUAGAGUUAUUCUGUCAGUGGUAUAUUGAAGCAUCAUAUAAAGCUUAUCUAAUUAUUUAGGGAAGUGGCUUUCAAACUUUGCAUCAUAUUGGAAACACCUGGGACGUUUGAAAACUAUGACUGUUUGGCUCCCACUCCUAGACAUCCUGAUUUAAUGGUUGGGGGUGAUGUGAUAGGCUGAACAAUAACCUCCCAAAGAUGCCCACAACCUAAUCCUCAGAACCUGUGAAUAUGUUCCCUUACAUAUAAGAGACUUUGCAGAUAUGAUUAAGUUAAGGAUCUGGAGAUGGGAAAAUAUCCUGGAUUAUCUGGAUGGGUCCAAGGUCAUCACAAUGGUUCUUACAAAAAGGAGGCUGGAGGGUCAGAGUCAGACAGAGAAGGCUUAAAGAUGAAAGUAGAGGUCAGAGAAGGGAGAGAAGACCCUGAACUUUUGCCUCAGAAGGAGAGAAAGGGGCCACAAGCGAAGGAAUGCAGGCAGUCUCUAGAAGGUGAAAAGGGCAAGGAAAGGAUUCUCCUCUACAGCCUCUAGAAGGAAGCAGCUCGUUGGACCCAUUUUAGACUUCUGACCUGCAAGAAAAUAAAGCUCGAUUGCUUUAAACCA
rnacentral:lncRNA from 13 species